GACGAACGCUGGCGGCACGCUUAACACAUGCAAGUCGAACGAGAGAAGAGAAGCUUGCUUUUCUGAUCUAGUGGCGGACGGGUGAGUAACACGUGAGCAAUCUGCCUUUCAGAGGGGGAUACCGAUUGGAAACGAUCGUUAAUACCGCAUAACAUAAUUGAACCGCAUGAUUUGAUUAUCAAAGAUUUAUCGCUGAAAGAUGAGCUCGCGUCUGAUUAGCUAGUUGGUAAGGUAACGGCUUACCAAGGCGACGAUCAGUAGCCGGACUGAGAGGUUGAUCGGCCACAUUGGGACUGAGACACUGCCCAGACUCCUACGGGAGGCAGCAGUGGGGAAUAUUGCACAAUGGAGGAAACUCUGAUGCAGUGAUGCCGCGUGAGGGAAGAAGGUUUUAGGAUUGUAAACCUCUGUCUUCAGGGACGAAAAAAGACGGUACCUGAGGAGGAAGCUCCGGCUAACUACGUG
rnacentral:rRNA from 1 species